UCCCGUGUUGCUCAGUUGGUAGAGCAUGGUGUUUGCAAUGCCAGGGUUGUGGGUUCGAUUCCCACAGGGGAC
rnacentral:tRNA from 1 species